rnacentral:tRNA from 1 species
AUUUAAAUAAUUUAAGAAAAAUAUUGAUUUGUGGUGUCAAAAAUAUGAAUUUAUCAUUUUAAAUU